rnacentral:tRNA from 1 species
GCGGGUGUAGUUUAGUGGUAAAACUCCACUCUUCCAAAGUGGCCUCGUCGGUUCGAUUCCGUCCACCCGCA